rnacentral:lncRNA from 1 species
GAUACUGAAAAUUACCCAAAAUUGCUUACAUGCAGGAAAAUUUCCCCCUUCUGUAUCUAAGCUGUCACUCUCUCCUUUAUCGGGCCGGAUCUUAACCCAUUUAACCCAAAAAGAUCUCUCUAAUCUCUAUAGCUAGCUCAGUGCACCAGAUCCCUAAUUCACUCAAGAUGAAAAAUCCACAGAAAACUGCACCAAUUUCAUAGCAAUAACAGCAAAUUUAUGCUGCUUUUUCUCAUCAAAAUCUUAUCUUGGCUCAAGGUCUAUCUCUCUCUCUCUCUCUUUACCAUUUUGAUGAGAAUUAACCCAUUUAACCCAAAAAGAUCUCUCUAAUCUCUAUAGCUAGCUCAGUGAACCAGAUCCCUAAUUCACUCAAGAUGAAAAAUCCACAGAAAACUGCACCAAUUUCAUAGCAAUAACAGCAAAUUUAUGCUGCUUUUUCUCAUCAAAAUCUCAUCUUGGCUCAAGGUCUCUCUCUCUCUCUCUCUCUCUCUCUCUCUCUCUCUCUCUCUUUUCCGUUUUGUUUACUUUGUUCCUUUGAACAGUUAAACCAAAACCCUAAUUUAUAAUUCUCAAAAAAUGGUUCUAAAUUAUGGAUUUUGAGCUAAUUAUCAAAAUUGAUUAUCGUCUGGGCUCACAAUUUCGUGGCCCUUUGGUCUUUUCCUUUUCUUUUGAUAAAUUGUUGAUUUUUAUUCUUAAUGCGAUUUACCAUAAAAAAGAUUGCACCUUUUUUAGAAUCC